rnacentral:lncRNA from 1 species
GAAAAGUUAGACUUUUUGUACGCGCCUCAUGUACGGGUUUUGGGUUUUCUAACCUCUCGCUUUCUCGUUGUUCUUCGACUAGAAAUCACUGUUUGCAAUGAUUUCCAGGCUCCCUCUUUGAUUUGGUUCGGUGAUUUUCGAGCUUGCAUCUGCAUCGUCCAUGGAGGAAUGGUCCCCUGGGGAGGUUCUGCAAUACUCUCCGCUCCCUAAGCGAAGUCGAGUAACUGAGGAACGUGAGGAUGCGCUUCUUGUUGAUUCACAUGUGAGCUCGAUGAUUGAAUUGAGUUGAAUCAGGUAUCCUUUAUGUCUGAUGGUCCUGUAAGUUUCCGGGAUAAACUUAUGAAGAAGGUAGACUUGGUUAAGAAUGUGGGUAUCAACAUAGAUUGUUUGGAUGAUGCGUAUGAUGAGGAAGAUGUGAUAAUUUCUAGAGGUGAUCAUGGUCCUUAUAUUCAAUUUUCUUACCGUGCUAUAUCUCGUCUAGUCAAGCCUUGGGCGAAUGCCUUCAUUAUCAAACUUCUUGGUCAAUCUCACACAUACGAUUACCUCCACGCUCUGCCUAAUGGGAUUGAAGGGGGGGUGGAAAUUGGUUGAUCUAGUGAAUGAUUACUAUGUGGUUAAGUUUGAAUUAGAGGAGGAUCUCAAUUUUGUGUUAACUAGAGGUCCCAGGAUCAUUACAGGGCAAUACCUGGUUAUGCAAAAAUGGAGACCAGGAUUUUGUCCUGUUACGGCUCAAAUUACGCAAAUGGCGGCUUGGAUUCAUGUUUCUGCGCUUCAGCUAGAAUGUUUUGAUGCAUAGGCUUUGAAGCGUAUUGGAAAUUUAUUGGGUAAACUGCUCAAAAUUGAUUCUCUUACCACUGCUCAGAACAGGGAAAAAUUUGCUCACCUUUGUGUUGAAUUAGACCUGACCAAACCUCUUGAGGCCUUCGUUCAGAUUAAUCAAACUUGGUAUAAUAUUGAGUAUGAAGGUUUACCUAAUAUUUGCUACUUGUGUGGUAGGUAUGGGCACAAGAGAGGAUAGUUGUUAAAUGAAGGCCUCUGGUCAUGCUGACUCUGUUGGGGAGCGGCACGUUCCUAAUGAAGGAGUUGGUACAAGCUCGGACGUUGCUAUGUAAAAGGAUGGUGUUGAUGGUUUAAUGGGAGGUCUGAGGGGACCUUGGAUGAAUGUGCUGGCUCGAAGAAAACCCAAAGUUGUGGCUGCUGACAAAGGUUCUAAGGGUUCUGGCAAUAGGAACCAAGGGUUUAGGUUUGAUGCUUUACGCAAAGUGGGAGAGAAUUUUGGUUUGGAUGAGGGUUUGGUUAGUGGAAAUGGUGCCCAAACUGGUACAGCAAAGGUUGGUUCAUCUACGAGGGGUGCUGACAUGGGACAAAAAUAUAGACUAAAUCCAAGACUAAUAAAGCGGGCUUUAGGGCAACUUUGAGUAAUAUCUCUAAUUCUUCUUUGAAGGAAAAUAUUCCACUGAAUAUGACUGGCCAAUGACUUGGUGAUUCUACCCAUGAGAGUGGUGGGACUUUGUCAAGUAAGGGUAAAAUGAUUGUUGGUGGUAAAAUAGUGGAAAAGCAUAUUUUUGUGCAAGAGUAGUUAAAUACUUGGGUGCAUGGUAACAAUGAAUAUACUGCUAAAGAUGUGUAUAUUUUUGGACACCAGCCACCUAGUAUUGAUGCAAGCGGUAAUGAGCAUGAAGAGGAGUGUGAUACAGAUAUAGAUAUUGAUACUACUUCUUUGGUUUCCUCUGCAUAUGGUGGUGGGUUGCCGCAGGAGCAUAUGGAUAUGUCUGAAGGACACAAGAUUUUCUCACAGGAGAAGACUACUAGUCAUGCCUUUAACAAUGUUGAAAGUAUGACUAUUGGUUCUUAAUUAGGGAUUAGCCCUAAGGGUUCUCGUAUUUUUCUGAUUCUUUUAUGGAUUUAGUCUGUUGGAAUGUCAAAGGUGUUGCGUGCACAAGCUUUCGAAAUAAUGUUGCGGAGUUGAUCCAUGGUCAUUGUCUGGAUUUACUGUUUAUCUAGGAACCUAGGAUUAGCAGGAAGAAAGCCCUUGAUAUGAUUAAUUGAUUCUUUGAAGAUGUGGAAUCGUAGUGUUUUCGGUCAUUUAAAACAGAGGAAAGCUCGUAUUCUCGCAAGAUUGGCUGGUAUUCAAACAGCUUUGUGUCAGGGACCUAAUUGACUUCUGAGUCAGUUGCAAGAAUUUAAUUCUUUGCUUGAUCAGGAUGCUCUAUUUUGGAAGCAAAAAUCUAGGCUUAAAUGGCUACAAAAGGGAAUAGGAACACAAAUUUUUUCCAUAUGACAACUUUAAUAAGGCAUCGAAGGAAUAAGGUUGAACGUCUUAAGGAUGACAAUGGGGUUUGGGUGGAGACGGCUGAUAGCUUGAAAGCUCUUGCUGUCAAUUUCUUCACCAAGUUAUUUUCUCAAGGUCAAGUGGACUAUAACCCUGCAGUCAUUCCUAAUCUUUUUCCUAGUAUGGACCCUGUGAUUGUUUCUAAUUUACUAAGACCUAUUGAUAUGUCUGAAAUUAAAAGUAGCUUGUUUAAUAUUGGUCAUCUCAAAGCUUCUGGAAUUGAUGGGUUCCCGUAUGGUUUUUAUCAGAAUCAGUGGAGUUUAUGUGCUAAGGAUAUUGGUGAUCUUUUUUGCAAAGUGUUUCAAGGAGGGAUUUUGC